rnacentral:pre_miRNA from 1 species
UUAGCUCAUAUUUGUAUGGAAUAGGAUCGUUUGCCUACGUUUGCCGUUAGGGGCGCUGUUCCAACUGCAUACGAAAUUGGGUUA